rnacentral:lncRNA from 1 species
UCCAGACUUCCAUUUUCAACAUGUGAUUUAUAUAAUUGAAAGACCCAGAAUCCUCCCUUCUCUAAGAAGCCUCAGGACCUCAUCAGCACAUUGGAACCUAUUUUCUUUACCCAUCAACUCACCUGGGCUGGUUUUAAGAAUUUUCUAGGUACAAUUUUUACUGCAGAGGAGAGGGAUCAAAUCAUAACCUUCCUGAAGCCAGGGAGGCUGCAAAGGGCCUUGGGGCAACUGGAAUAGAUGCUGAAAGAAGAACUGAGGGAAUAUUGCCCUCAACUCUACCAAACUGGGAUCCCAACACUGAUCGAGGGCCCUGUGAACCAACCUCUAUUGAUUUUGAAUGGACAGGAUUCAGUGACCAAUUGCCCUGGACCUGACUACCACAGGGUUUAAGAACUUCUGUACUCUGUUUCAUGAAGCCCUUAGUGCAAACCUGCUUGAGUACCACCAAGGACACCCAAAUGCCACCUGCAGUAUGUGAUUGAUCUUCUCCUCACUGCAUGCACCCUGAAAGAAUGCCAACAAGCUACCGAAUUGCUGCUUAAAAUGCUCUGGCAACUGGGCUACCACAUGUCGGCCAACAAGGCCCAAUUAUGCUCCAAUAAGAAUUGGAUGCCUUUUGGAUGGGAAGAAACAACAUUCUGACCACAAAGGGGUUCCAUCCCCAUAAACAGGACACACAUCUCUUCUGUGGACGUAUCUGUAAGAAACCAAAGCCAUGUUUGCAGGCAGGACAUGGGACUGAUACUUGCAAAUUCAGCCUCAGCACUCACCAUCCUAGAAAUGCACAACGACCGUGUAUCUAGGAAGCAGUGGGCAGUGGAAAUGGGUUUUCUCAGAUUUGAAACCUGGUCAUUGACUGUCUGUGAGGAUGCUCACCCUCCCUGUCUCUUUUCCUGAUAUCUGGGGAUACUACCACUAUGUGCUUUACAGGCUGCUGAGAGGAUAAAGGAUUAGGACUGGAGUGUGGCUUAGGGGCAGAGUGUGAGCUCAGCAUGCUUGAGGCCUGGAC